GANCUGGCUCAGAUUGAACGCUGGCGGCAUGCUUUACACAUGCAAGUCGGACGGCAGCACAGAGAAGCUUGCUUCUUGGGUGGCGAGUGGCGAACGGGUGAGUAAUAUAUCGGAACGUACCGAGUAAUGGGGGAUAACUAAUCGAAAGAUUAGCUAAUACCGCAUAUUCUCUGAGGAGGAAAGCAGGGGACCUUCGGGCCUUGCGUUAUUCGAGCGGCCGAUAUCUGAUUAG
rnacentral:rRNA from 1 species